rnacentral:snRNA from 1 species
AUACCCUUCUUGGCCUUUUGGCUAAGAUCAAGUGUACCUGUUCUUAUAUGUUUAAUAUUUGAUAGGUGGGCAUUGGCUUACAUGAUAUUAGUUUAAUUUUUUAAGGGGAAGGCUCAUUAAGGUAGUUGGCUGCUUGGGCCUUUGGGCGUCUUGGUCUUGCACUCAUCAAGGUAGCUUGCUGCU